GAUGAACGCUAGCUACAGGCUUAACACAUGCAAGUCGAGGGGCAGCAUGGUCUUAGCUUGCUAAGGCCGAUGGCGACCGGCGCACGGGUGAGUAACACGUAUCCAACCUGCCGUCUACUCUUGGACAGCCUUCUGAAAGGAAGAUUAAUACAAGAUGGCAUCAUGAGUUCACAUGUGCACAUGAUUAAAGGUAUUCCGGUAGACGAUGGGGAUGCGUUCCAUUAGAUAGUAGGCGGGGUAACGGCCCACCUAGUCUUCGAUGGAUAGGGGUUCUGAGAGGAAGGUCCCCCACAUUGGAACUGAGACACGGUCCAAACUCCUACGGGAGGCAGCAGUGAGGAAUAUUGGGCAAUGGGUGAGAGCCUGAAACAGCCAAGUAGCGUGAAGGAUGACUGCCCUAUGGGUUGUAAACUUCUUUUAUAAAGGAAUAAAGUCGGGUAUGUAUACCCGUUUGCAUGUACUUUAUGAAUAAGGAUCGGCUAACUCCGUG
rnacentral:rRNA from 1 species